ACGUAGGUGGCAAGCGUUGUCCGGAAUUAUUGGGCGUAAAGCGCGCGCAGGCGGUCCUUUAAGUCUGCUGUGAAAUCCCCGGGCUCAACCUGGGAAUGGCAGUGGAUACUGGAAAGCUAGAGUGCGGUAGAGGGUAGUGGAAUUCCCGGUGUAGCAGUGAAAUGCGUAGAGAUCGGGAGGAACAUCUGUGGCGAAGGCGGCCACCUGGACCAGCACUGACACUGAGGCACGAAAGCGUGGGGAGCAAACAGGA
rnacentral:rRNA from 1 species